rnacentral:lncRNA from 1 species
UUGAUAGGUUCUGAGUUGAAGCUUUCUGUUCUUCUGUCUGUUCUCAGUCGGAGUCGACUCGUACUGAUCUGGAGUCGACUCGAGCUCGUGCCAGUGAACUUGAUACGCUUGGAGUCGACUCGUGAUACUCUGGAGUCGACUCGAGUCUCAGACUUUGGUUCAGGCUGAUUUCUUAACUUAUCCAAAAUACUAUGAACCAAGUCUAGAGACACGUAGACAGGAUUUUCACUGAAACACUUAAUUGAAUUCAUUAGUAAACAAGAAUUAUACUCAAAUGCUUUGAGCUCAUCAAAAUCAAAUGGGGUUUUAAUCAAUCACUCCACAAUCUCCCCCUUUUUGAUGAUGACAAAACAUUGAGUAUAUGUAAAGUGAAUUGCACAAUAAACAAUGAAAUAAAAUCCAUAAAUGAAUUCAAAUGUCUGGUAAUUCAAUUUAUCCAAGCUUGAAAGGAGUGAAACAAUAAAUUUCGGAGUUAAAGCUCCCCCUUUCAUUUGGAAUUAUAUAAGCCUUCGUAUCAUGCAAUCAAUUGUUUGGCUUA